UCCUGUGUAGCUAAAAUGGUGAAGAAUCUGCCUGCAAUGCAGGAGACCUGGGUUCUAUCCCUGGCUUGGGAA
rnacentral:tRNA from 1 species